rnacentral:rRNA from 1 species
CAAGAAACUACGAAAGGUAAGUUGGACGGGGAGCACCACGGACGGGUGGAGUCGUUGUACGGUUUUAAUUGGAUUCAACGCCGAAUCGUUACCGGGACCGACAGCAAUAUGAAGGCCAGGCUGAAGACUUUGCCGGAUUAGCUGAGAGGUGGUGCAUGGCCGUCGUCAGUUCGUACUGUGAAGCAUCCUGUUAAGUCAGGCAACGAGCGAGACCCACGCCCACAGUUGCCAGCGUACUCUCUGGAGUGACGGGUACACUGUGGGGACCGCCGCUGCUAAAGCGGAGGAAGGAAUGGGCAACGGUAGGUCAGUAUGCCCCGAAUAUCCCGGGCUACACGCGAGCUACAAUGGUUGGUACAAUGGGUAUCUACCCCGAAAGGGGACGGGAAUCUCCUAAAACCAAUCUUAGUUCGGAUUGAGGGCUGCAACUCGCCCUCAUGAAGCUGGAAUCCGUAGUAAUCGCGUUUCAACAGAACGCGGUGAAUACGUCCCUGCUCCUU